GCUCACCAAUGAAGAGGCCACAUACAAAUCUACUGAGUUUUUAAUCUUGAGUGUUUGCAUAAGCCUUGCCUAAGGUUUAUGUCAACUACUCUAGGCUUGCCCCAGGCCUACGCUAAUUCUUCUGAGAUAUUUACACGAGCCUUGCACUAGGCUUGAUCAUGCCACUUAUUUAAUUUGAGGUAUUCGCACAAGCCUUCCCAAGGCUUAUGCCAUAACCAUAUCUGGGAUUAAUUUAGGGAUGUUCGCAUAAGCCUCACCCAAGGCUUAUCCCAAGGCCAUUUGACACCCAUUUCAAUUUAUUUUUGCCCUAAACCUUUCUCUUUUUAAUUAUCACAAUAGCCACUUCACCUCUCUUCUAUCAAAACAAAAAACACUUUUUAUUUGCUCUACCUGAACCUCCCUCUUCUUGCUUACAACUUCCACCCAAAGUUAACCUCCCUCCACUCCAAAUAUCCUUCAACCAUAUGAAAUAAAGACGAAGGAAGUUUUCCCUAAAUAUGGCCGAUUAGAAAAUAAAAGGCUUUGAACCACUAGUGAGACAAAAACACAAACACAGUCGCCUCUAGCAACACCCAAACUCCAAAUCACAUGAGAGGAACAAGCUUCACUCUAAGUGCAAGUGGUUCUAAGAUGGCCGACCAACACUAUAGCCCCAUAAUUGACAUGCUCGAUUCUCUGACUCGAGAGCAAAAUGCACAAAACCCCAGAAUAAGUUGCAUAAGCAACUCUUGAAUGAAGAAGCAGCAAACUGUUGCCUUUCUCUUAUUGUCUUUUAAUAAACUCAUCAUAUGACUUGAUAAUUUUGAGUUGGUCUUCAUAGGCGUCCCUUCUUGACAAAGCUGUCAAAACAAGGGUAAGGCUUCCCAUUUGAAUAAAGUAUUGAUUCCUUUCACCAGCAUGGCUAACAUCUCGAUUAUAUUGCCACGGCCUGCCUAACAAUAAGUGCCCUAUUUGCAUGGGAACCAUGUCGCACAAUAUCUGAUCAAUAUAGUUACCAAUAAAAAAUGAGACACGUACUUGCUUGGUGACACUGAUCUCCUUACUGUCAUCCAACUAGUAUAGCUUAUAGGGACAAGGAUGUUGUUCACAUGUUAACCCUGUUCGAUCCACUAGUAAGCCGUUGGCAAUGAUAGUAUAACUGCCUCCAUCAAUUACCACACUACAGACCUUUCCAUUGACCAGGCAUCUGGAGUAGAAAAUUAUUUCCCUUUGACCAUUGCCAUUGGGCUUAACUUGUAUGUUCAGUGCUCAUUGAGCCAUAAACACAUCUCUAUGUACUAAUUGAACGACACUUUCUCUACUUGCACCCACUGAUGGAAGAUUUUUCUACUCAUUACUGCUCUCAUGAUCACUGACAAUAUUUUCAUCAUCUCUGGUGAUCAUGGCGCGCUAAUGGGGAUGUUGAGAUGGAAUAUGCCCAACUUCUAGGCACUUGAAACAUUUAAUAGUGCUUUGGCGAGUAGUAAGUGCCUUAGGAUUACCUGUUGAGUUGUCAGUGGGUUAAUUUCCCUUACUGUCAUCCACUUUUUUGCCUUCAUCCCCUCGAGUCCACCUUUGAUUACCCUAGGGAUUGUCACUGACAUAUCCUUAGUUGGUUCCUCUAACCAUUAGUUUCAUUUCAAUCUUGGUAGCCUUGUGUACCGUCUCUUCCAAAUUGACAUAAUUUUGAAGUUCAACGACGUUGGCUAUCUCCUUAUUUAGGCCCUCCAAGAACCAAGCCAUGGUAGCUUUUGGCCGUUCGUCUAUUUGGGCCCUAACCAUAGUUAUUUCCAAUUUCUUGUAGUAUUUUUCCAUUAACUUGGAGCCUUGAGUUAGGUGUUGCAGCUUCAUAUUCAUGUCCCUGUCGAAAUGGGUUGGUAUAAACUGUUUCCUCAUAAUGGAUGUUAACUCUCUCCAAGUGGUGAUUUGUAACACCCCGCCCAUCACUGUGCUUAAAUUAUUUGAAAACCCUAUUUAUUCGAGUCUUUGGUCAUGUUAAACUUAAUUAAUUUACGCUACUUAAUAAUUAUUGUAAUUUUGGUUGAUUUAUUAUUUAUUUAAUUUUUAUUUGAUUUUCUUUUAAUUAAUUUUAUUUUAAUUUAUUGUAAUUAAACUAAGUCUAACUCGUUUAAAUUAAAUAUAAAAAUUAAGAAAAAAUUAAAAAAUGGUGAAUCGGGAAGAAAAUCUCGUAGGAAAAAUCCUGCGGGGAAUUGUGCGCGUGCGAAUGCGCACAGAGUAGCUGCGGGACAUGCGCACGAUCCACACUCACGCACGCAUGAGACAUGCGCACAACGAGCAUGUCCCAUCUGCACUCACGCACGCACAAGACGUGCUCACAGCGAGCAUGUCCAAUUUGCACGCCUGCACGCACGGGAUGUGCGCAUAGUGCGCACAUCCCCUUUGCACACAUGGUAUGUGCGCAUAGUGCGCACAUCCUCUUUGCACACAUGGCGAAGGGUCAGGACUUGCGUGCGUCCUAUUGAGCGUAGGCGAGCAAUCCGUGUGUCACAUCGCACGCGAACAGGCACAACAAACUAUGCGCAGCUAGUCGGCACAGUAGGCCUUCGGGUGGUGCCCAGCACGCCAAGGCCCUGCACUCGUGGCAGGAGACCUGUGCACCUGUAGGCUAGCCUAUAAUGCGCCGCUGCUGCCUCAAGCGACAUGCCAUCGUCGCUGGUGGAGGAGGCCCUCCUCCCUUUUUUUUGUGCGAAAGCAUUUUUUCUCAUUUCUCUUCAUCGGAUGUUACCACUUGGCGUGAAUCUGACAGUUUCAAAACUCUAUAAAUUACCCUUCCCCUUCCUUCGCUCUCUACACUUCCAUUCUUUCAUUUUUUUUAAAGAUUUAAAGAGAGAGAGAUAGUAGUCUAGUGGGAGAAGAAGAGAAAGAAAGGAGAACGGUGAAGGAAAAAAACAUCAAGGUCUCGAUAAAGAAUCUAGUACUUCUUUCGACGUCUUAAGGAGUAUUUUUAGAUAAAAUAAAUUAAUAUGAUUGUUAUUUUUCCUGUUUUGCAUGCCUUUGUGUUUAGAUAAGUGGAAUUAUUUUUGUUUUCAAGCAUGCUAUGUGAAUUACAGACAGUUGAUGAAUUUGCAUGUAAUAUAUAUAAUAUGUAUUCUGUAACAGUAAAAAGUAUAAAAUAAAAGAAAAAGAGAAAAGUGGAAUGAAGCCUGUAUAGUCUGAAGUGUAUUUGUAUUGACAUGCAUAUUGUAUCAAGUGUCUCACUAGAUUUUUUAUCUCUGAAGGGUAUCUGUUCCUCUUGCCAUUCGGGGUAUCUGUUUUUCCCUUCCCUAUCUGGUCUAGAAAGACAUAAGAGGACCGCUCCCAAUGGAUGGUGGCGUACACUCUAACGAGAGUGGUAUCACACUCUCUGUAGGGGUCACCCGUGAUCAGUAAUGUCGUGAUUGUGAAUAUUUGUUAAGGCCACUACGGCUGGUACGACCGUGGUCAUAGAUCGUACCAUGGUUUGGCCAGUUAGAAAUGGGCUUGAGCAAAUUGUCAUAUCUGUAUCUGAUCUUGUCAUUCUACUUGGGUAGUUGAAAAUCUGUAUCUGCCCUGAAAGAUAGAAGUUAUGACGACUUCGUGAAGCAUGACACUAAAAUUUGAGCAUUUCAUGAUUUAUUUGAUUUUGUCUAUUAUCUGCCAUGACGUAUGUUUUGUUAUCUGUAUUAACGUAUCGUUUUCUUAACAAAUAAAUGAUUUUUCAUAAUGUGAGAUAGGUAAACGAGGAGGUUAAAUGGUAAGUUAAAAUAACUAACUUUUGAAAUCUUAUGAUGUUAAUUUAAUAUUAUUUUUCUUACUGAGCAUAUAAAACUCACUAUUUCCAUGCCCCCCAGAUGAAGAAAAAAGUGAAAAAUCGCAGGUUGACCUACCCUUAGAAGUCUAUGAGGAUCCCGUAGAUUCAUAAAUCUGAGUGCAUGACUAUUCCCGCACUCUGAUGAGUCCAAUAGCAUAAUGAAAGAAGUGGCCCUUAUGUUUUGUUUUCUAUUUUGCAGCCACUUAUGGCCUCAUUAUAUGUAUGUAUAGAUCUCAUAUGUAUUUAUAAGGGAUUUGUAAUAAUUUCAUUCCGCUACAUAAAUUUUAUCAUACACUCGUUAUUCUGAAUAUGUAUCUAACACCCAUUUGCUUUAAUUAGCAAAUGGGAUGUCACAUGAUUGGCAGGUCCCCAUUUUGUUCACGGAGAAGGGCUAUUUGAUCACACCAUACUGAGGCAUAGCCUGUAAAUUCAAAGGUGACCAACUUAAGCUUUUUUUCUUCACUAUAGUGGCGGUAGCUGAAGAUGCAGUCAGUCAUCCACUCCCACUCAAGAUAGGCUUCAGGAUCAUUUUUUCCCUUAAAAGUUGAUAUAUGGAACUUAAAGUCAUGGAGGUCUCCAUCUGCCUCUUCGCGACGGCCUCCCUGUCUGUCGCCAACUUCAUCACCAUAAGAUCUUGUUUUUUCCCGUGUUAUUUGGCAUCAGGCACGAUUGCGAUUGUCUCCCUGUUCCAGAUGAUCCAUGCGGGCAGCCAUGUUCCCCAUUUGGAAACUUAACUGAGUGAACAUGUCCAGAACCCUCUCUUUUAUGGUUACUUGUAACACCCCACUCAUCGUGUGCUUAAUUAAUUUGAAAAAUCAUAUCUGUUUGGGCCUUUAGGCUGCAUUGAACUCAUUUAAUUUGCU
rnacentral:lncRNA from 1 species